UAAUGAGUAGUUUAAAUCAUGAAAACGAUAGAUUGUGGUUCUAUAGAUAGGGUUAGUUGACUCUCAUUAG
rnacentral:tRNA from 1 species